rnacentral:lncRNA from 1 species
CAGCUACACAUAAAAAGGAGCAGCAGGCUCCAGCUGGGUCUGCAGAUUUACUUUCCUGCAAACAGUAAGUCCACUGCUUAAAAUCUGCUGAUGGCUUGUUGUUCUUUGGCAGUAUGUGCAUGUAUCAAGGAAAACUGCUAAAAGUUUUACUUUCUUUCCAGGAUCUGAAUUUUUGUCUAAUGUUCUAAGAUGUACGGAAACAAUCAAGGAUACCAGUACCCCCCUGGCUACCCAAGCCACCCUCAGCAGCCAGGGGGUUACCCUCACUGUCCUCCAGGCACUGUCCCACCACCAAACUGCCCUGGAGGAGGCCAACCUGGGUAUGGACCUGGUCCUGGUUGUGGCCACGGACAACCUGGGUACGGACCUGGUGGCCACGGCCAACCUGGGUACGGACCUGGUCCUGGUUGUGGCCACGGCCACGACCAUGGCCACAGCCACGGGCAUGGGCACGGACAUGGACAUGGACACGGACAUGGGCACGGACAUGGGCACGGACAUGGACACAAGCACAAGCACAAGAAUGGUCACAAGCAUGGCAAGUGUCACAAAAAAGGAAAGGAUUGUCACGGGGUAAGAUUCCUUCAUUUAGUUUUACGUGUUCCAGAAAUGAGAAUAUAAAAAAACUUAAUCAGUACAACUACAACGUGAACAAAUUACAUUGUCAAAUGAAUGACCUCAAAACUGAGACAGUAUGCCAUUUCUGCUGCUGUUACAUUUAAGCAGAUUGCGUUGAUUCGUGAUGUUUAUCUGUUGUGUUUGUCCCUAUUGUAGUCUUCCAGCAGCUCCUGCAGCAGUGACUCUGACUGAAGACUCCUGAAAGGCCUUCAUCUUCCUAUUAUAUAUUACCAGAGGUGGAAAGAGUACUGAAAAUUUGUACUCAAGUACAAGUAAAAAUACUGGUGUUAAAAAAAGAUACUUAAAAGUAGAAAGUAUUCUUCUCAAAAACUACUCACAUUGCUCAAACAAACGAUGUAUAUAGAAAAAUUACACUAAGGCAAUUAAAUAUAAAUAAAUGUAAAAAAAAUGUAUAUAAAGCAGGAAUGUUUUUGAACGUGCACAGAACAAUUUAAACCUUUCCCAAUACACCGUGAACAACAGGCAGAUGUCUCAAACUCUUGGACAUAAUAGCAUUUCUAUCACACUUCACUUUCUGAACCUUUUGAUCAGUUUCAAUAGGAGCUGUUUUUCCAAAGUAAAAGAGUCUACCCAGCUUCGUUUGGCUGUGAAAAGCAGACCAGUGUGUCAACCGAUUUGGUUCCCCAUUGGAAUUCGUGUUCCCCCUCGAAAAGCCAUGUUAACUGACACCGCCCACAGGACCAACCCAGAAGAACUGGAUAUACGGAAAGCAAAGUGGUACAAAAAUGUAGAAGAUUUGAGUGAGAAUGCAGCAAAAACAAGAUUUCCAUGUUGGUUUGAAUAUAUGUUAUUUAAUUUGGUACUACCAGUCAUUGAUUUUGAUGGAAAAGAGUUAAUUGCAAACUCAUGAUUUCAUGAUUC